CCUACGGGGCGGCAGCAGUGGGGAAUAUUGGACAAUGGGCGAAAGCCUGAUCCAGCCAUGCCGCGUGUGUGAAGAAGGCCUUCGGGUUGUAAAGCACUUUCAGUGGGGAAGAAAGCCUUGGGGCUAAUACCCUCGAGGAAGGACAUCACCCACAGAAGAAGCACCGGCUAACUCCGUGCCAGCAGCCGCGGUAAUACGGAGGGUGCGAGCGUUAAUCGGAAUUACUGGGCGUAAAGCGCGCGUAGGCGGUCUGAUAAGCCGGUUGUGAAAGCCCCGGGCUCAACCUGGGAACGGCAUCCGGAACUGUCAGGCUAGAGUGCAGGAGAGGAAGGUAGAAUUCCCGGUGUAGCGGUGAAAUGCGUAGAGAUCGGGAGGAAUACCAGUGGCGAAGGCGGCCUUCUGGACUGACACUGACGCUGAGGUGCGAAAGCGUGGGUAGCAAACAGGAUUAGAUACCCGGGUAGU
rnacentral:rRNA from 1 species